GGGUGAUGAUGGUUGUUGGGAGGGUCUCGGGCGUCUCGGAGUCUUCGAGUUAUAAUUCCAUGAUUUUCUUAGGUAAGAUAUGAUGGAGGGUUGUCUACGACUCAAAUUUGUGGUGGUAUCAGAGGACAGGAUUAAACAUCCAGAAUUUUGAGAGAAUAUGAAUGGAGAUCAAAAUGAUAACAUGAAGAAUCACACAGAGAAUAAUGAGCAUAGCUGGCUGAAAUCCCAUUGGCCAGAAUUGGCAUUCUUUACUGGACUGACUGGAAUGUCCAUGCUUGUUGGAUUUGGCACAACACUAGCUGCUGCAAAGAAGUCAGACCCUCAAUAUUUUGGUGAAGGUCUUUCACCCAAGAUUCCAAAUGGGGAGAAAAAUGCCGCAGAAGUGUUUGAAUCAGGAACUUCACUAGCAAUGAAGGCCUUGAGAAGGGCUACUAUGUACUCUGUUGGUGGGUUUUCAUUGUUUUGCUUCACUGUGUGGAAGCUAAGUGGUGCCAGCAAUUUUGAAGAAUUCCGUCUGAAGAUGGGUCAGUUGCUCCCAUCUGUACCAAGGAGUGACCCACCCACCUCAAAGGUAGACUUUGAGAACCUGUCUGAACUUUUUCAAUAUGUCAUAGAUGAAGACAAAAAGAAAAAGGGACUUUCAGAAGGCUCAACAAAGGCUAGUGAUUAGAUUUAGUGUUGAAUGGGACUUGGAGUAAAUGACCCUUUUGUGAUUGAACAUGAUGUUGUGUUUGCUGCAAGUGGGCAUUGUGAUGAGCGUUGUUGAAGUGUUAACACUGGCAAAAUGCAAUUGUGUUCUGCUAGUGUCUCGUCAUGGAAAUAUUACCACAAACACUUCUGAAA